ACGGGAGGCAGCAGUGGGGGAUAUUGCACAAUGGGGGAAACCCUGAUGCAGCGACGCCGCGUGAGUGAUGAAGUAUUUCGGUAUGUAAAGCUCUAUCAGCAGGAAAGAUAAUGACGGUACCUGACUAAGAAGCACCGGCUAAAUACGUGCCAGCAGCCGCGGUAAUACGUAUGGUGCAAGCGUUGUCCGGAUUUACUGGGUGUAAAGGGCGCGUAGGCGGGAUGACAAGUCAGAUGUGAAAUCCAUGGGCUCAACCCAUGAACUGCAUUUGAAACUGCCAUUCUUGAGUAUCGGAGAGGCAAGCGGAAUUCCUAGUGUAGCGGUGAAAUGCGUAGAUAUUAGGAGGAACACCAGUGGCGAAGGCGGCUUGCUGGACGAAAACUGACGCUGAGGCGCGAAAGCGUGGGGAGCAAACAGGAUUAGAUACCCUGGUA
rnacentral:rRNA from 1 species